rnacentral:lncRNA from 1 species
GGAAAAUCUGCUGUGGCAGCUGUAUGGCAGUGUGCUGAGAAAAUGGAAGGCCUGGCUUGGGAAAAAGACUUCUUAUCUCUUCCUCUUUGCAGGGGAAGUAACCCUGAAGAAGGAUGGAAAAUCAAAUUGGAGUGCUCAGCCAAGCAUCAGAGCUCAGGAGAGGGACGGAGAGGCCUGGCACAGGCAGGGUAUUUGUCCAACUGCUGUGAUGUUUCCACGUUAGCCUUACUGAGAAGGAAAAGUUCUUCUCUUCCUCACCAUUACCAUCACUGCAAGGAUGUGUGAGCCCUUUGGACCUGGGAAUCUGCAGACCUGGUGUCUGGUCCUCAGCCUGCCACUGCUGACUGGGAUGAUUGAUUAUGUCUUGUGUCAAGCACAUCCAGGCUCUGUCAGAGAUUUCUGCAGCAGUGCUGACCUGUAUUGAAUAGAGAAAAUAAAGAUGAAGGCAGGAAUAUGUCA